rnacentral:rRNA from 1 species
CAGCAGCCGCGGUAAAACGGAGGGUGCAAGCGUUAAUCGGAAUUACUGGGCGUAAAGCGCACGCAGGCGGUCUGACAAGUCAGAUGUGAAAUCCCCGGGCUUAACCUGGGAACUGCAUUUGAAACUGUCAGGCUGGAGUCUUGUAGAGGGGGGUGGAAUUCCAGGUGUAGCGGUGAAAUGCGUAGAGAUCUGGAGGAAUACCGGUGGCGAAGGCGGCCCCCUGGACAAAGACUGACGCUCAGGUGCGAAAGCGUGGGGAGCAAACAGGAUUAGAUACCCGUGUAGUCCCUGUCUCUUAUAC